rnacentral:lncRNA from 1 species
AUGAGAUCUGCUUCGAUAUCUGUAGUAGAGGACGCAAGGGGGGUACGAAUCGGGACACAGCGCCAAGCCCAGCGGUUAGCUGGUGUCUAUGGAAACCGAUCUAGACGUCGACCCAACCCCCAGCCACAUCCAGAUGCAGGACAGCAGCUGGUCCUUCUCUACCCUAACAGCCCUGCCUACCAGUAUCAUCCUGUCCUCCCAUCGUUCCCAUUAGCUGGCUGCUCGCCACUCAACCGGCAUCCCUACUUGUCGGAAUUUGUUGCCGUUUCCUCACUGGAACGAAUUCCGCAUACAAGACGGCGGGAUUAUGUGACAAUGGAUGGUAUAACACGGCCAUCUUUUUACCCAAUACGUCACGAUUCGCCAUCUAGUUCACCAAUCAGGAGAAACCUCCGCUCCAGUGGUUCAGGUGGGCUGGGAUUGGCCAGAAUGUACCAACCAGGAAGCAAUGGUGCAAGACUCAUGGGCGUUGGACAUACAGAGGCAGGUCAUUACAGCGAUGACUCCAACUUCCUUCCUGGGCUGCCUCGCCGUGUAGCCAGCCAACCUGACGUCAAAUUACACCUCUCGAGGAGUUCAAACACUGCCUUUAACCCUGCUUCUGAGUUCCGCCCUCUUGGUUACUACCCCCACCUGACGCGCCCCUCCAGACCCACCUACCUCCCACUAAACUCUUCCCCUCUGCCUGAACGCCCCAGUUCACUAUGUAUGAUUGGCAGCACUGCGGGAAGCUACAGCGACUCAGACCCGGAGGUUUUCUAUCCAUAUUACUGCCCUGCCCCUCAGGUGGGCAAGAUGGUACGGUCCGCUGGACUAGCCAGGAUGAGGUUUUCAUCGGGGAGUCUUCAACUUGAUGAGGAGGAAGAGGGAGAGGAGGAAGAGAGGGAGCAUGCAACAGCAAAAGAAACUGUAAAGAAGGAGCCAGAGGGUGAAGAGGAGAAGAAAGAAAAGAGUGGAGGAGGAGAGGAUACAAAAGGAGCAGCAAAGGUUACUGAAGUGACGCUGUAG